rnacentral:lncRNA from 10 species
UACGCAGACGAGGUGGCUGUGGCUGAGGAGCUACUGGACCCCGAGGAGGCACAGCGGGGCAGCAGGUUCCGCCUGGACUACCUCCCCAACCCACAGUUCUCUACGGCCAAGAGGGAGAAGUGGAUCAAGCACCACCCCGGGGAGCCUCUCACCCUCGUUAUCCACAAGGAGCAGGACAGCCUGGGGCUCCAGAGUCACGAGUACCGGGUCAAGAUAGGCCAAGUAAGCUGCGACAUCCAGAUUGUCUCUGACAGAAUCAUCCACUGCUCGGUCAACGAGUCCCUGGGCGCGGCCGUGGGGCAGCUGCCCAUCACAAUCCAGGUAGGGAACUUCAACCAGACCAUCGCCACACUGCAGCUGGGGGGCAGCGAGACGGCCAUCAUCGUGUCCAUCGUCAUCUGCAGCGUCCUGCUGCUGCUCUCCGUGGUGGGUAAGGAGCCCCACCCUCAGGACACCUUGGAGGGCAGGCUUGCCACCUUGCCCCAGCCCCUCUGAAGAUUGGCAGAUGGGAGAAGGCAGGAUGGGAUGGGGCACAGCUUGAACAAAGGCUUGGCCAUGGGAACAGGUUAGGCACCCAGAGGUUGGGGGAGGUGUGCCCUGGCUCCAGCACCAAUGGGUAGAAGAUGUUAGGUGGCCAGGGGAUAUGCUAGGCCCACGCCCAGGUCCCUGAAUCUCAAGCAGAGAAAUUUGGAACCAUGUUCUCCAGUCAAUAGAGAGCUACUGAAGGUACUUAAGAGAGGAUUACUCAGGAAAAAUUAACCUACAUGUCUGGUGGGCUAUACCACUGUUAAAAUAAUGGUCAAUAAAGUAAUAGACUCGAUGUAGCAGAGAAACUGGAGCCAUCAUACGCUACUAGAGGGAAUACAAAAAAGCGCAGCUGCUUUGGAAAACAUUUUGGAAGUUUCUUAGGAUGUGAAACAUAGAAUUACCCUAUGACCUAUGACCCAGCAAUUCCACCCCUAGCUAUCUGCUCAAGAGAAAUGAAAACGUAGCCACACAAAAACUUGUACACACGUUUAUAGCAACAUUAUUUAUAAUAACCAGGAAGUCAAAACAACCCAAAUGUCCAUCAACCAAUAAAUGA